rnacentral:lncRNA from 1 species
AUAGUGAGAUUUUCCUGGAAAGUUUUCGUUUUUUCCUUCAAAAUAGACAGACGGGAGCUAUGCCAAUAAUCCCCCAAAUUCCACUAUUGCCUGCUCUCUAUUAUCCUCCAUGGAAACUCUGAGCUUGCCUCAGAACAUACAGUAAGAGUAAACGAGGAAAUGGAUUCCCUCAGCUCUACUUUCGUCUCCAACACACUCCAACUCCUCCCUUUACCCACCCUCCCUAAACUCCCCUCAACAACCCACAAAGCCCCCAUCAGCUCUCUUCCUCUUCCUCUNNNNNNNNNNNNNNNNNNNNNNNNNNNNNNNNNNNNNNNNNNNNNNNNNNNNNNNNNNNNNNNNNNNNNNNNNNNNNNNNNNNNNNNNNNNNNNNNNNNNNNNNNNUGAGGUUAUCUAUGGUUUGCUCAUUAGAAUAUAUGGAAGACUUAGUCUUUAUGAGGAUGCUGAGAGAGCAUUUGAAGAAGUUAAGCAGCUAGGCCUGCUUAGUGAUGAGAAAACAUAUUUAUCUAUGGCACAAGUUUAUUUGAACUCAAGAAAUGUUGAUAAAGCACUAGAGAUUAUUGAACUAAUGAAGUUUAGAAACAUUAGGUUCUCAAGAUUUGGUUAUAUUGUUUCAUUACAGUGUUACGUGAUGAAAAGAGAUACGGGGUCUGCUGAGUAUGCAUUUCAGGUUUUAUCAAAGACUGGGCUUCCUGAUACUGUUUCUUGUAGUGACAUGCUCAAUUUAUAUCUUGAACUGGGCUUAAUAGAAAAGGCAAAGGAGUUUAUUACUCAGGUAAAGAAGGAUGGGAUAGAAUUUGAUGAUGAGCUUUACAAAACAGUUAUUAGAGUAUACUGCAAGGAGGGAAUGCUAAGGGAUGCUGAGCAGUUGAUAGAAGAGAUGGGCAGAAACCAAUCAUUUAAAAAUGAAAAAUUCAAUCAAACACUCAUGAAGUGUAUGCAUGGACAAUAUAUUGGACAAAAGAAAUUCGAAGGUCCCGCUAAGACCCUUGACCAACCCGAUACUGAGGCCCUUGGCUUGAUGCUCAAUCUUUGUUUGGCAUACUGCAAUUUGGAUAAGGCAGAAGAAAUAUUGAAACUUUUGCUCAAGACUGCUAGUGGUUUCUCGGCGGUUAGUCAACUCAUUAGCAGCUUCGAUAGGGAAGGUAUGGAAUCAUCUUCUUUAUGUAUUUCCAUUUAGAUGUUAUUUAGAUGAAGGAAAUUUAGAAGCUACUCGGUUCCUUGAGGCUGAUUUUGAUUUCUGUGUAGGUGAUAUAUCUAAAGCUAAAACUCUUAGAAGUAUGAUUAUGAAGAUGGCAUCCAUAUUAGAGGAUGAAACAAUUGCUUCAUUGAUUGGUUUCUACGGGAAGCAACAGAAGCUAAAACAUGCCAAAGAUCUCUUUAUGGCAGUGAGAGGUUCUUCAUCUGGCAAGAUUAUAUGUAAUGCAAUGAUUGAUGCAUAUGCAAAAUGUGGUAAACCUGAGGAGGCAUACAAGCUUUAUAAAGAAUCAACUGAGAAAGGCCAUGUUCUCGGUGCUGUUUCCAUCAGCAUCGUCGUGAAUUCUUUGACUAACAGUGGUACGAGUUUCUUCUGUUCCUUUCUGAAUUUAUUAGUUAUCCCAGAACAAUAUUAAUGUUCCGUAAUCGUCCAUUCUCAAGAAAAUAUUCGAUGAACUUUUAUUUAAGAAUCAUUGCCGCUUCCUAGUAUCUAGAUAUUUAUCUUAACCUAUUUUUCUUGUAACAAGAGAUGAUGUCAAGCAUGUUAGAAGAAACUUUUUUUUUCUUUCAAUAUUUAGUUAAUCAGAAGUCAAUACAUUUACAAGACGUUUGUUUACUGUAUAAGGCAAAAGUAUACAAAAAAUAUAGUAGUUAUUACGAAAUAGAGACUUAUUGCACAGUUUGGUAGGUUGAAUCAAACUUAUUUUGAAAUUUUGAUCACUGGAGAAGUUGUAACACUGAUUCAUGACGGGAAAGUGAAAGCUCCCGCUGAGGUUGGAGCUUUUGUACAGACUACUGAUUUGAAUAGGAGUAACACCAAUUCUGUUCUCCAAAUUCAGAGACCGUGUAAAGCUCUUUCUUCAAACAUUUUCUUAACAUCUUUUCACUACUUCAGUGAUCCAUUCUUAACUUUUUCUCCAUUUUUUGUGUAACCCCAAAAAUUUUUGGGAUGUUACAUUUUGACCUGCAAAUUUGUGGAAUUGAUUGUUUUCUUUAUUUGUGGUUGAGUCAUGUCCCCCAAAUCUUUAGAGAUUUUAUAUCUUUUACUUUAUGGGUAUAGAGGACCAAGAAGCCUAAGGUAUCAUGGAGAGGGGCAAUUUUCACUGGUUUGUGGGUCAUUUGGUUGGAAGGGAAUGUAAGCAUUUCAAGUUGUUUUCAAUUGCUUCACAUGGGUAAAGGAUAUAAAGGUAAAUAACAUUCUUUGUAAUUAAUAGUAAUUUAUUGUCUUUUUUUCCAUCCUAGAAAACCUGUAUAUAUGGAUCGGAAAUAUUCAAUAGAAUACAUAUGAACCAUUCUUAACAAAGUAAAAUCAGAAUUCGUAAUUAGUUUCCUUCGAAAAUUUUGUCUAAUUUUCUUUUAUCUAUAUCUAGCUGUUAUAAACCAAGAAUUAUGAAUAAAUUUCAGAACAAAAGAUUCAAUUCUAAAUCUUCAGGAACAUUUGUUUAUCCAUUCUACAAAGGAACAUUUCUUUAUCUAUAUCAUGUAUUGAUCUGUGUUUCUUUUGGUUCUCUGUUACUCUUUUCCAAGAUGUCUUAGAGGGCAUCCUCUGCUCAUCUUUGUAAUUUUUUGCUUUAUUAAUCUUUAACAAUGCUUCUUCUUUUAUCCAAAAAGAAAGAUUAUCCUUUUAUGUCAUUUUAUCAAUAUAUAUAUAUUUUUGGUUGUAGGUUACAAUUUGGAACAGAAGAACUUUGCUUGUGAAAUUCAUUUGGAAAUUCACACUUAUAUUAAUCAGGAGAGUUGGAAACUCUUUCGAAAUAAAUUCCACGAACAAAGUUCAUUUUUCCAAAUAUAGUAUGUUAAUCAUGGACCCUAAUGUACUUUACUGAAGGCCCUGGACGAGAUUGGCUGAUAAUUUUUAGUGUUAUGUGCAUCUCUCCCCCUUCUCUUGAGUGAUUCAUCUCCUAUUUUCUUCGUGGUUUUGAUAAAGAUCAAGGAGGAAAAGGGCACAUUGAAGGGGAGUUAUUUUUGUUGGUUUAUGAGUGCUUUGCUUGGAGAGAAAUGGCAGACUCUUUAGAGACAAGGAUUUUAGCCCAAUCUCUUCUUGACAUAGAAUGGCUUUUCUAGCCUCAUCGUGGGCUCAAUACACAAAUGGUAUUCUAUUCUUGGAGCUGUUGCUUAAGUAUAAAUAUAUUCCCUCAAUGAUCGAGUUCUUUAACCACCUGUGGUUGUGGUUACAUUUUCAAUCUUGUGAUAGUAGAUAAAUUUUUCUUUUCUUUUUUCUAUCUUUCCAAAUAUGUUGUUACUGUGUUAGAUCAAUAUACAUCAGCGACAGUUCAUCUAUAAACUGGUGUUUAGUGCUUAGUUCAGUGUGCAGUAUUAAUCAUUAUAGGGUCAUUGGUGAUAUAUAACCAUCAUCUAUCUGCAGGAAAACAUCAAGAAGCUGAGGAUAUUAUCAUAGAGAGUUUCAAGAGGAGCUUUGAGCUUGAUACCGUGGCAUAUAAUACCUUUAUCAAGGCAAUGCUAGAAGCAGGUUGAGUGGAUCAUUUCCAAUUUUUUUGGCUACACUUAGGUGCCGGAGGAUGUUAACAAGCUGUAGUCUUGAUUUUGCAGGCAAAUUGCAUUCGGCAGGCAGCAUUUAUGAGCGAAUGCUUUCUUCCGGAGUUUCUUCAUCAAUUCAAACAAUUAACUUAAUGAUCAGGUGCAAAUUUGAAGAAUAGUAAACACUACCCUCCAAAUAGACUAAAUUGGAGGGACAUUAAAUGUGUAAAUGUGUGUAUUAGUUACAUAUAUAUAUAUGUAUCAAUUCUUUUCUGAUGUAUUUGGUCUUUCUUGUCAAUGAAUGCAGUGUUUAUGGACGAGGGCGAAAUCUGGAGAAGGCUGUGGAGAUGUUAAACACUGCUUGCAGUUUAGGCUUGUCUCUGGAUGAGAAGGCAUACAUGAAUAUGAUAACCUUCUACGGGAAGGCUGGUAAGUUUAUUUCUUUAGUCAAGAAAAGUGGAUUUUUGAUAGUUAAAGAUAUUAUGUCUGCCAAGUUUCUAGAUGAGUGUAUAUUUCAAACUCCAAAGCGAUUAGGCUGUUCUCCAAAACUUUCUCCACAUCACAUCUUUCUAGUGAUCAAAAGUAAUAUGGGUGCUUGAAUUAAUUCCAGCCACAGUUAAUGGUAUCAUGAAAAAAAUUAUCAAAUCGUCAAGUCAUCUUACACCGAACCAACAUUAAUUGUUUCUCGUACUGAUUGAUCCUUGAAAGAAGAGUUGAAAUGCUCUGAUUUGUUAUUAAGCUGACUGCUGAUGUACUCAAUAAUUAUUGUCAUGAUGAACAUAUGAAACAUCUAGUUCAAUUUUCAGCAGUAGAUGGUUGAAAAUAUUUAUAACAUAGAUUUUUUUGUUGCAUGAGAUAUGUCAUUUUGUCAUCCUUGAAUCGGUUUGCAGGUAAGAGGCACGAAGCAUCCCUUUUAUUCUCUCAAAUGCAGGAAGAAGGAAUAAAACCUGGGGUGGUAUGUCAUUUAUAAUUGCCUAAAUGCUUGAGAAAAGUCUGUCAAAAAGGUUGCUAAUUUAUUUAUAGCUGAAAUAAACAGCUUUUCUUCACCUUACAGGAAAAUAUUAUGCAUUGACACUAUAUGAAAUGCAGUCUCACUCUACCUCUCUCAAAUAUAGAACUUUAUCCAUAAUCGCUUGGAGCUUCUUUGUUUUUAAUUGCUGAUGUUCUGAUUGCUUCUUUUCUUUUCUGGGAAAAUGCAGGUUAGCUACAAUAUUAUGAUGAAGGUAUAUGCUAGGGCAGGACUCUUUAGUGAAGUUGAGAAACUUUUCCAAGCCAUGCUCAUAGAUGGUUGCUCCCCCAAUUCCGUAACUUACCUUUACCAUGUUCAAGCUUAUGCACUGAGUUUGAAAUAUGAAGAAGCGGAGAAAACCAUAAUUUCCAUGCAGAAAAAGGGCAUUCCUGUUUACUGUGCUCAUUUCAACAUUUUGCUCUCUGCUUUUGCAGAAGCAGGAAUGAUGGCAGAAGCAGAAAGGGUUUAUAACAAACUGUUGAGAGAUGCUUUAAGUCCUGACCUUGCAUGUAUUCGUAGCAUGCUGAGAGGUUACAUGAAUUGUGGAUGUAUUGAAGACGGAAUCUCCUUUUAUGAGCAGAUAAAGGAAUUUGCUGAACUGGAUAGGUUUAUAAUGAGUGUAGCUGUGCACUUUUAUAGGACUGUAGGAAAAGAGCCUGAGGCUGCAGGUCUUUUAAAAUUCAUGAAUUCUUCAGGGAUCCAAUUUUUGAAGAACCUUGAGAUUGGACCUAAGGUAAAAGCCUCCUAGUCUAAAUAAAACUAGUUAACUUGGUUAUUUCAUCACCUGGAAAGAAUAGCAGGUUGCCAAGACAUUAAAUAUGGUUUAUUACUAUAGAAGCCUGAGAUGCAAACUGCCUCGCAGUUGGGGCCAUUGCAGUCAUAGCCAUCCAAGUUGCAUAAAAGCAGCUCUGUGGUCUGAAGAUUCAGACGAAUUGAAGGAAUGACAUGAAAGAGAAUUAAGGAAUGCUCCUUCAGUGGUCGAGGAAAAAACUGUUUAGCAUAUGAUAACUCCAGAAAGUGGCAUGAGAUAUUUGAGGCUUGGAGCAUUUAGCAAUUGAGAUUUUCUUGUCACAUGAAGUGAACUUGGUGUCAUCUGCAACUGUCGGAUGGGUUAGGGAAAUAUUGUAGUAGAUUUUAACUGGAGCCUUAUUUGCUUUGGACUAAUGCAAACUACUCUUUGGACAAACUUGUGGUUUGGGCUACUUCAGGUUCUUGGGAGCUAAAGGUGCAGAAGUCAAGUAGGGGAAUGUAAAUGGUGGAAAUGAUUUUGGUGGAGUGGAGGAGAACCGUUCUGUUUAAGUUGUAAUGCGAGCUCCAUAUUAUCCAAGUUUAUGCGAAUACACAAUAACAUAACUUGUUUUAUUUAUAAUUAUUGUUCUAUCAUAGGACAAGAAUGCAGAACUAUUGGACUAUAAUUGAGAUUUCCAUAAUAUGAAAGCAUGACUAUUAGAAGCACACAAAAAGUGACUUGAUUGACUUCUUUUAGCUAAAAGAAUCUCCAAAUAUCUGCUACUCUUGAGAACCAAUCUUCAUCUCUAUUAUGCAAAUGUCUCCACUUGCUUCUUUGAAUUCUUUCCACUCAUAAUAAGUUUAGGUCUUGAGAAGGUUCGAAGCAACUAAAUUUUUCCACGGCGUAUGACACCAAAAGAUAGUUGCCGAAUAAAUGUCAAUUCAACAACUAAAGUUCUUUUAUAUAUGUAAGAAACUAUUGCUAUUACUGCUAUUAUUUAUAUGUAUAUGAAUUGGUUAUUUAAUAAUUGUAAAUCAUUCCGAAGCUUUCUAGCCCAGAAAAAAAAAAAAUGACUAACCCACCAUAUAAUCCAAUUUGGAUUCACGAAAAACAAAUCUAUCAACGAGUUAAAAAAUCUUCAUAGUUUUUAGGACUAAAAAGUUAAAGUCAUCUUCAUAGAUUCAAAUUCGCGAAAAACAAAUUUAUUAAAGAGUUGAAGAAUUUCUAUACUCUGCUGUAAAUAGUUAAAAAAUUGAAUUCCUCUCUAGGAAUUUAAAUUUUCUUUACAAAUAUCCUUUAAAGAUAUCUCUAAAAAAAAGUUAUAAGGAUUCAACUAUUUAUUCAACUAAUCACUCUUAACUAAAAAUCAACAUUAUUCGAUAUCAAACGAUUUAGUCAACGCAUCAAAACUCAGUCAAAGAGAUCAAAUUAAAAUUUAUUUUUUAUUUUUUAUUAAAAUAUAUUAAUUGAUUAUUUUGUAUAUUUAUUUUAGAAACCAAAUUUAUUGUUACAACCUCCAAAAAUAAUGGUAAAAUGUAACAUAACUCGAUUUAUUUUUUCAUAUAUUUUUUAAAUACAUAUUUAUUGGUAUAAAUCUCAACCAUGUUCUAAUAAUUUACUCUAAAAACACAAUUCUAUAAACACUUGUAAGGCCCAGCCCACCAAAUUGUCCAACGUCUCAAAAACCAUCGCCUCUUGAUCGUCUCCAACGUUCGUAGUCUCUCCCUCCCUCUGCAAGAGAUCAGGAAUGGCGUCGAGUCUCUUCAGAACCCUAAUCAGGUCAUCAAAAUUGCCGUCGACUACUAGAAACCUCUGCCUUGUCCGCACUCAAAUCAUCAGCAAUCACACUGCUAAAUGGAUGCAGGUAUGACAUAGUAUGUCGCCUAUGUAUUUAUUUUCCAUACGUGUUCUUAGCACGGUUAUUUCUUUCUUUAAUUUUUUAGUUCUAUAUCCAAAGGAAGGAUCAGAACUAGAUAAAUUCUUAGGAUCUUGAGGUAUAUAUUUAAAAUUUGGAAAUCAGUACCAGAGCUAUUUUAGGUAGGAGAUUUUUCAUCCAGCUGGAGUAUUAGUUUCUGGAUGUGCUCUUUGGUUAGGAAAAAGUUGAAAUGUUUAGGGUUUAAAUUAUAAGUUAACACGAGUAUUCUUUUCCUGGCUUUAAUUCUUGGGAAGUUUUAUAAGUUCUUUCUUGGUUGCUGUAAAUAAAGUUCAGGCAAGCCAAAUCCUUUUGCUGGUAUUAAUUAAUUCAUCUAUUUAUGAAAACUCAGAGUACACAGCCUUUUUCUUUUCCACAUUUCCUUGCUAUUUUUAUUGCGAGUUUUUGAAACCUGUUAUAAUUGAUGCCUAGAGUUCAAAUGUACAUUCCCCUAUAUUUUUGUAGAGUAAUGGACAAUCUGCAAUUUUUAAUGUCAUUUAUAUUUUCUGAAUCAAGUUCAGUUUAAGUUAAAAAAUCAGAUUCCGCUGGUUGUUCAAAAUGCUGAGGGUGAAUCCAUUUAUAAACAAUCUAUUUGCAGUGGCAUUGAAUUGGGGAAGACAUGUUAAUAAAUAAAGAUUUACAAUGGGCCACUAGGGAAUUACUUCUUUAAUGAUAGAUGAGUAAAUAUUCACAACGCGUUUUUGUCUCCAAUAGAGAAAAAGAUGACGAUGCUCGAAAAAUGAUACCCAUUCAAUUGUGGUUUAUAUGUAGAGAAAUAAUGGUGAACAGAUGCUUCCUUUGCAAGUGCACCGCCGAGAAUUGCAAUCACAUUUUGCUAUGGUGCCCCUAUUCCUACAACCUUUGGACACUUAUUUACAGCUUUAUGGGGAUCAAUUGGGUAAUGGCGAGUUUGGUGAACAACGAAUUAUUGGCUUGAGAAGGCUUCGCUUUUAACAACAAGGUUGUACGUCUUAUCUCUUUGUCCAUUUUUGGGCUAUUUAGAAGGAAAGGAACAAUAGGCCUUUUGAAGGAAGGGAAUAAACUUUUGUAAAUAUCAAAUAUCAAACAUAUCAUGGGAUUGAAAAAAGAAUUUGAUUUGGUUGGACUAUCUAGAAAAAGGCAUUACGGUAAGCCUUGGUAGUGGAAUCCUAAAGGUUACUAAGAGUGUCAUGGCUGUGAUGAAAGGGAAGCGAAUAAAAAUAAUUUGCUCAAGUCAAUUAGGAGUAUGGUUAUAGACGACGCUUUUCUACGGUUUCAUCAGAAUUUGACAUAGAUGACUGUAUAUCCCAGCAUAUGCUUUUGGGGCAUACCAAAGGAAGCUACUGAAGGGGUUUAAACAGUCCAAGGUUGACUUAUGCGAGCAUGGCAUCCUUGGUAAAUAGGAAAGGAUGAGCUUCAAUCUUUCUCACACAAAAGUACGGAUGUGUUAGAAUGCAUACAUACAGAUGCAUAUGAUCUGGCUAAGAUACUAGCAAAAGGUGGAGCCAGAUACUUUGUAAGUAUCAUUAUUUAUUUUUCUAGAAAGGUUGGAUUUACUUCAUGUUGAAAAAAUUAGAAGUAUUCUCAAGGUUUAAACAAUGGAAAGCCGAGCUUGAAUGAGGUUGAAUGAUAAACAAGACAAUAGGCUUUUAUGUCAAGUCCAACAAUGUUGGUGAGUACAAAAGUCAAGAGUUUGAGGACUUCUGCAGGGAAGAAGGGUUUAUCAGUGGUCUGGGUCUAUAAAUGGCAAUGUUUUAACAUCAAGGUCGCUAAAACGGUUCAGUGUUGCUAUUCCCAUUGGUUGAUUGUGACUUUUCUAAAUUAUCACACUCCACUUGCACCAUGUGAUCAUGUAAAUCGGAGGGAACAUCUUCAUGACAUGAAUUUUUCUUUAGCAUUGUGCUCUCAUCAAAAACUACAUCUCUGCCAAUGAUUGUACUCUGUACAUUUGGAUCCUGUGAUCUUUAACCCUUAACUCCUUUCUGGAAACCAAGAAAAGUAUACUUUACAUUACCUUGGCAUCCAACUUAGUGCAUGUUAGGUGCAAGUCAAUAUAUAGAAAGAAAGAGAGAGUGUUAGGGGGAAGAAACGUCACAGUUUCAAACAAGAUUAGUUGCAAACAAGAUUAUCAAAGACACGGAUAGACUAAUGUGGAAUUUUAGAGACAAACUGAAUUGAGUUGUAUAUUGAAGUCUAUACAUGUUGAUAUAUAACUGUUAGAGAUUGACUACAAAGAGAAAGAAUCAGAAGCAUAUUACAAGAAACCAAAUCAAAUCAAAUCCUUAUAUCAGGGAAUCCCCAAUUUCUGGGCAGGUUAGAUAAGCUUCAAAAAAUUGGCUGCCAAAGGUUAAAUUUUUCAACAUUCCCUGUCAAGUUGAUAAAUAUGCAUCUUUCAUUCACAGCUUGCAGAUAAGUUCUUAAGAUGUCACUCAACUGAGUCCUUUCAUUUUGAUAGCACAUUUGCAAAGUUGUAUAUUAGUUGAGACAUACAAUGUACAAGUUAUCCAACGUCACUUUAUGAAGUGUCUAUCUAUUUCAAUGUGGUUUUUUCCUCUCAUGCUGCACAGGAUUAUGAGCAAUGUCAAUGGGAAACUUCUGCUCACAAACUAUCUAAAAUUAUUGAGUCAUAAUAAUUCACGUAUUUCUUGUACCAUCACCCUAAACUCUACCUUUGCACUUGAUCUAGCGAUCACGUUUUGCUCCUUACUCUUCCAGUUUACAAGAUUCCUCCAAGAAAAAUUCACAGAUCGCCUCUCUAAUGGGUUCGGAUAUUUUGUAUGUGUAUAUCUAAAGGGCUAAUCAAGUGUUCCUUUUGAAUAAAACUCCUUUAAUAGAUUGGACUCAGGUAAUAAAGUAUCUUGUAGACUAUAUGAAGGUGAACCUCUUUCAGGCAGUGCAUGAAUUAGCUAACCAUGUUCACGGCAUGCAAUGUUUGGCCUUACAUGGACAUGAUAUAUAUUUUUCCUACCAAUCUCUAAUACAUUUCUAUUUCUACAACUAGAUCUUCAUUUAUCUCUUCUAGUUUGUGAUUUUGCUCAAUCAGUGUGAAAUAAAGUUUACAUGCUAACUUUCCUCUCUCCCUUGUGAGAUAAGUCACAUAUUUCUGUUGUGAAAUAAAGAUUUCUUCUCUGGAAUGAAACUUUUAUUCCUAGAAGGUACUUUAGUCUCCCAUGUUUUUUAAUCUCGAAUCCUUCGAUUAGAAAAUCUUAUCUAGACUUUCCUCUUUCUCAUCAUUUUCUAUCACAAUUAUGUCAUCAAUGUACAUCAAAUGUGUUGUUACUCCUUUUAAAUCCAAGUGCUUUAAUAAAAGUGUCUGAUCUCCCUGACCCUGUCUGUACCCAAUGGCACUAUUUUAGCAAAUCUCGAAAUGAAGUCUUUGGUGAUUGCUUUAGAUCAUACAAUGUUUUCUUCAAUCUACAAACUUUAUUGUCUCUUAGUUUUCCCUUAUUUAAAAAAAAAAUGUCUCUUAGUUUUCCCUUGAAGCCCGGGAAAAUAUCCAUGAAGAUCUCUUCCUCCAAGCUGUAGGUUUGUGCAUGUUACCUUGCCACGAGCCUGGCCUUAUAUUUCUCUAGGAAACCAUCUAAUGUGCACUUACUUGUACUAGAACUGUCAAAUUGAGUGGUGGGCAACCUGGACUACAACAUUCCUCCCUCUCUUCCUGCAAAGGACCUCCUUACCUCUUCCUCCUCUACCUGUCUAUAAUCAGAUCCGCUCUCUCUUUCCAUCCCGUGCUAAGAUAAUUUUUGCACUCCAGAUUUCUGAACAGAUGUUUGAGCGGUGUUGUGGUAUUCCUUUCCAUUUUUAUUUAUUUUCUGAUUUCCUAGGUCUGCUCUUGUCUAUAAAUAUUCCCUUCUUCCCACAGUUAAACACUUAAUAUUGUACUAGUGCCAAGUCUGAGCAAAGAAAAUGAGCUACAAGAAGUUUUCAUUUUUGGAACUCUUGAUUGUCAUGCUUCUGCGAACUUUUGAUGUUGUAGUAGCUAGCCUCCAAUAGCAGUAAAGGAGAUGUCUUUUAAGUAAAUAUUUUUUUGUUUCCUUCGUAUUGUUUAGCUGUAUAAGAUCAAAGAUAAACAAAUGGGAUGGUUAAUUAUUUUGUUAUAUAUUGUUUUUUGGUGCCGAUAAGUUUUUGGUGUUGGUCGCUGCUGCUAUCUUGUCUUCUAAAGGAAAGAAUAUUCAUCAAAUACCUAGUGCUCUAUGAAUAUUUGAAGGUUCAAAUUUUGGGGGUCUUAAGUUGCAGUUAGUCAUGAACUAACUCUCAUUAGACUGUGACAAGUUUUGAGAAAAACCCAAAUGCUGGUCUUCAAUGCUCAAAGUUCUUUAAACAACUCCAUUCUCCCAUUUAUUAAGAGAGUCUGCCAAUUGGAAUAGGAUUUCAGAGAGUGUAAAGGGAUGUUUAUGGGCCUGCUGCAAGUGGAGAAAGAAGAGGGAAACAAACAUAGAAGANNN